CUUCUCUCAGGGUCGCACCUGGAGAGUUUCCAGUGCUCUACCAGGCUCGGCUAUGGGAGGGAGAUUCAAGCAGAGGCCUACCCAUUCCAUUCCUAGCUUGACCAAUGGCUAGGGAGUGGGAGACAAUCUGUGACAAGU